rnacentral:rRNA from 1 species
CGUAGGGGGCAAGCGUUGUCCGGAUUUAUUGGGUGUAAAAGGCUUGUAGGUGGCCACGCCAAGUCGGAUGUGAAAUCUCCCGGCUCAACUGGGAGGGGUCAUUCGAUACUGGCGGGCUCGAGGCCGGUAGGGGAAGUGGAAUUCCCGGUGUAGUGGUGGAAUGCGUAGAUAUCGGGAGGAACACCAGUGGCGAAGGCGGCUUCCUGGACCGGUUCUGACACUGAGGAGCGAAAGCGUGGGGAGCGAUCCGGAUUAGAUACCCGGGUAGUCCACGCCGUAAACGUUGGGCACUAGGUGUCGGGGGUAUCGACCCCUCCGGUGCCGCAGCUAACGCAUUAAGUGCCCUGCCUGGGGAGUACGGCCGCAAGGCUA